rnacentral:rRNA from 1 species
GACGAACGCUGGCGGCGUGCUUAACACAUGCAAGUCGAACGGAAAGGCCCUGCUUUUGUGGGGUGCUCGAGUGGCGAACGGGUGAGUAACACGUGAGUAACCUGCCCUUGACUUUGGGAUAACUUCAGGAAACUGGGGCUAAUACCGGAUAGGAGCUCCUGCUGCAUGGUGGGGGCUGGAAAGUUUCGGCGGUUGGGGAUGGACUCGCGGCUUAUCAGCUUGUUGGUGGGGUAGUGGCUUACCAAGGCUUUGACGGGUAGCCGGCCUGCGAGGGUGACCGGCCACAUUGGGACGGAGAUACGGCCCAGACUCGUACGGGAGGCAGCGGUGGAGAAUAUUGCACUAUGGGCGGGAGCCUGAUGCAGCAACGCCGCGUGGGGUAUGACGGCCUUCGGGUUGUAAACCGCUUUCGCCUGUGACGAAGCGUGAGUGACGGUAAUGGGUAAAGAAGCACCGGCUAACUACGUG